GUCAGGAUGGCCGAGUGGUCUAAGGCGCCAGACUCAAGAGUAAAUUUCAUCCUAUAGCAGGAGUUGGGUGUUCUGGUCCACUGAUGUGGGUGAGUGUUCGAAUCUCACUUUUGACA